rnacentral:rRNA from 1 species
GUUGAACGCUGGCGGCAGGCCUAACACAUGCAAGUCGAGCGGAUGAAGUGAGCUUGCUCCUGGAUUCAGCUGCGUACGGGUGAGUAAUGCCUAGUAAUCUUCCUGGUAGUGGGGGAUAACUUCCGGAAACGGGCGCUAAUACCUCAUACGUCCUGAGUGAGAAAGUGGGGGAUCUUCGGACCUCACUCUAUCAGAUGAUCCUAGGUCGGAUUAGCUAGUUGGUGGUGUAAAGGCCUACAAAGGCGACGAUCCGUAACUGGUCUGAGAGGAUGAUCAGUCAAACUGGAACUGAAACACGGUCAAGAAUCCUAAGGGAGGCAGAAGUGGGGAAUAUUGGACAAUGGGAGAAAGCCGGAACAAGCCAUGCCGCGUGUGUGAAGAAGGUAUUCGGAUUGUAAAGCACUUGAAGUUGGGAGGAAGGGAAGUAAGUUAAUACCUUGAUGUUUUGAAGGGAACAACAGAAUAAGCACCGGCUAAAUUCGUG